GGCUGCAGAAUAACCUGUGAAAGCCGCGGCUCGGGCCCACCCCCUGCCUGUCCUACUUUGCGGGAGACUUGGGACAGGCGGGGCUGCUCCCUUCCGAGAGCAAAGGCUUGACCCCGGUGUCCGCAUACCUGGACCUUUACCAAGAUGGCCGCUCGCGCUGCUUUCCCGCUGCCGAAACCAUGUUGGUCAAGUGGGCAGUCGGCCUCCGGACCCCGUAUAUGGCACCCUUCUGGACAGCGGCUGCUGCCUCCCAGAUUUCUCUACACCUGCUUUGCUCUGGACUGGGACUGCUUCUCACAGAGCCCCAGGACAUUCUAAGGCAUCUCUUAGGGAGAAAAACAGCUUUGCUUUGAUGUUAAGUCUGGUCCCUGAUAAAUAAGAUUAUCAGUCAGAGCUGGAAAAGCCCUUUAGAAAUCAUCCAAUCCUAUUUCCUUUUUUUUUUUCACAUGAGGAAACUGAGACCCAGAGAAAUUAAGUGAUAUUCUGUAGAUAACUUAUGUGCCAGCAUAUAUCUGCACCCUGCACCCAGAUACUGACAGUGCCAUCCCCUUCCUGCAAAAACUCACAUUGUUAUUAAUACUUAAAUAGACCAGCGACUUCAUCAAAACGGGCACUACUUUUUUCAAUAUCAAUCAAAUCCCAUCCAGAUCUAUUUGAUUUAAAUAUAGAUUCUCGCGUCCUGGGACUGAGCUAGCUAAUAUUUUCCAUUCAGAGCAGUUUAAUAGUAAUUAAAAAUGGAGUGGCACCUACGCCAUAUGCCUAGUUGGAAUGAGAGAUAUUUUAAUCUAACGUUUGUGGAGUUCCUGGUGUGAAGUAGAUAUUAAAUAUUAAUGAUAUCAGU